rnacentral:tRNA from 1 species
UCCCUGGUGGUCCAGCGGCUAAGGCUGCACUUCCAAUGCAGAGGACUCGGGUUCAAUCCCUAAUCAGGGAA